UACGAGGGGGGCAAGCGUUGUUCGGAUUUAUUGGGCGUAAAGGGUGCGUAGGCGGUUUGGCAAGUCUUGUGUGAAAUCUUUGGGCUCAACCCAAAGCCUGCACAAGAAACUGCCGUGCUGGAGUGUGGGAGAGGUGCGUGGAAUUCCCGGUGCAGCGGUGAAAUGCGUAGAUAUCGGGAGGAACACCUGUGGCGAAAGCGGCGCACUGGACCACAACUGACGCUGAGGCGCGAAAGCUAGGGGAGCAAACAGG
rnacentral:rRNA from 1 species